rnacentral:rRNA from 1 species
UACGUAGGGUGCAAGCGUUGUCCGGAAUUAUUGGGCGUAAAGCGCGCGCAGGUGGUUUCUUAAGUCUGAUGUGAAAGCCCACGGCUCAACCGUGGAGGGUCAUUGGAAACUGGGGAACUUGAGUGCAGGAGAGAAGAGUGGAAUUCCACGUGUAGCGGUGAAAUGCGUAGAGAUGUGGAGGAACACCGAUGGCGAAGGCAGCCUUCUGGGCCAACACUGACGCUCAUGCACGAAAGCGUGGGGAGCAAACAGG